AGUAACGCGUAUGCAACCUACCCAUUACUGGAGGAUAGGCCGAAGAAAUUCGGAUUAAUACUCCAUAAUAUCAUUAGAUCUCAUGUUCUGAUGAUUAAAGCUCCGGCGGUAAUGGAUGGGCAUGCGUGACAUUAGUUUGUUGGUGAGGUAACGGCUCACCAAGACUACGAUGUCUAGGGGGUCUUAAAGGAUGAUCCCCCACACUGGUACUGAGACACGGACCAG
rnacentral:rRNA from 1 species